rnacentral:rRNA from 1 species
AUUGAACGCUGGCGGCAGGCCUAACACAUGCAAGUCGAGCGAGCGGCGGACGGGUGAGUAAUGUAUGGGGACUGCCCGAUCGAGGGGGAUAACUACUGGAAACGGUGGCUAAUACCGCAUACUAUCGGAUACCCCAUAUGGGAUUAGCGAGUAGGUGGGGUAAAGGCUCACCUAGGCGACGAUCACUAGCUGGUCUGAGAGGAUGCUCAGCCACACGUGGACUGAGACACGGCCCACACUCCUACGGAGGCAGCAGUGGGGAAUAUUGCACAAAGGGGGCAAGCCUGCGGCAGGCAUGCCGCGUGUAUGAGGAAGGCCUUAGGGUUGUAAAUUACUUUCAGCGGGGAGGCGUUACCCGCAGAAGAAGCGCGGGCUGGCUCCGUGCCAGCAGCCGCGGUAAUAC